GAGUCUGAUGGAGCACGCCGCGUGAGUGAAGAAGGGUUUCGGCUCGUAAAACUCUGUUGUUAAAGAAGAACAUAUCUGAGAGUAACUGUUCAGGUAUUGACGGUAUUUAACCAGAAAGCCACGGCUAACUACGUGCCAGCAGCCGCGGUAAUACGUAGGUGGCAAGCGUUGUCCGGAUUUAUUGGGCGUAAAGCGAGCGCAGGCGGUUUUUUAAGUCUGAUGUGAAAGCCUUCGGCUCAACCGAAGAAGUGCAUCGGAAACUGGGAAACUUGAGUGCAGAAGAGGACAGUGGAACUCCAUGUGUAGCGGUGAAAUGCGUAGAUAUAUGGAAGAACACCAGUGGCGAAGGCGGCUGUCUGGUCUGUAACUGACGCUGAGGCUCGAAAGUAUGGGUAGCAAACAGGAUUAGAUACCCUGGUAGUCCAUACCGUAAACGAUGAAUGCUAAGUGUUGGAGGGUUUCCGCCCUUCAGUGCUGCAGCUAACGCAUUAAGCAUUCCGCCUGGGGAGUACGGCCGCAAGGCUGAAACUCAAAGGAAUUGACGGGGGCCCGCACAAGCGGUGGAGCAUGUGGUUUAAUUCGAAGCUACGCGAAGAACCUUACCAGGUCUUGACAUACUAUGCAAAUCUAAGAGAUUAGACGUUCUCUUCGGGGACAUGGAUACAGGUGGUGCAUGGUUGUCGUCAGCUCGUGUCGUGAGAUGUUGGGUUAAGUCCCGCAACGAGCGCAACCCUUAUUAUCAGUUGCCAGCAUUAAGUUGGGCACUCUGGUGAGACUGCCGGUGACAAACCGGAGGAAGGUGGGGAUGACGUCAAAUCAUCAUGCCCCUUAUGACCUGGGCUACACACGUGCUACAAUGGAUGGUACAACGAGUUGCGAACUCGCGAGAGUAAGCUAAUCUCUUAAAGCCAUUCUCAGUUCGGAUUGUAGGCUGCAACUC
rnacentral:rRNA from 2 species